rnacentral:rRNA from 1 species
AGCGCACAGUCAGUAACACGUGGCUAACCUGCCCUUGGGACAGAGACACCCCCGGGAAACUGGGGCUAAUCCCUGAUAGGCGAAGAACCCUGGAAUGAGUCUUCACCCAAAAGACGCCUAGGCCACGCUUCUAGGCACCGCCCAAGGAUGGGGCCGCGACCGAUCAGGUUGUUGGUGAGGUAACGGCCUACCAAGCCUUUUACCGGUACGGGCCGUGAGAGCGGGAGCCCGGAGAUGGGCACUGAGACAAGGGCCCAGGUCCUACGGGGCGCAGCAGUCGCGCAAACUUUGCAAUACACGAAAGUGUGACAGGGCUAUCCCGAGUGCCGCCCGCUGAGGGUGGCUUUUACCCAGUAUAGCAAGCUGGGAGAAUAAGGAGAGGGCAAGUCUGGUGUCAGCCGCCGCGGUAAUACCAGCUCUCCGAGUGGUGUGGAUGUUUAUUGGGCCUAAAGCAUCCGUAGCUGGCCGACCAAGUCCCCUGUUAAACCCAACGAAUUAAUCGUUGGAUCGCGGGGGAUACUGCUCGGCUAGGGGGCGAGAGAGGCCGACGGUAUUUCCGGGGUAGGGGUGAAAUCCUAUAAUCCCGGGAAGACCACCAGUGGCGAAGGCUGUUGGCUAGAACGCGCUCGACGGUGAGGGAUGAAAGCUGGGGGAGCGAACCGGAUUAGAUACCCGGGUAGUCCCAGCUGUAAACUAUGCAGGCUAGGUGUUUGGGCGGCCACGCGCCGCUCUAGUGCCGCAGGGAAGCUGUUAAGCCUGCCGCCUGGGGAUACGUCGCGAAGAUUGACUUAAAGGCCA